CGCGGCCUAUCAGCUUGUUGGUGGGGUAACGGCCUACCAAGGCGAUUACGGGUAGCCGGCCUGAGAGGGCGACCGGCCACACUGGGACUGAGACACGGCCCAGACUCCUGCGGGAGGCAGCAGUGGGGAAUAUUGCGCAAUGGGCGAAAGCCUGACGCAGCGACGCCGCGUGGGGGAUGACGGCCUUCGGGUUGUAAACCUCUUUUACCACUAACGCAGGCUCGGGGUUCUCUCCGGGUUGACGGUAGGUGGGGAAUAAGGACCGGCUAACUACGUGCCAGCAGCCGCGGUAAUACGUAGGGUCCGAGCGUUGUCCGGAAUUAUUGGGCGUAAAGAGCUCGUAGGCGGUAUGUCGCGUCUGCUGUGAAAGACCGGGGCUUAACUUCGGUUCUGCAGUGGAUACGGGCAUGCUAGAGGUAGGUAGGGGAGACUGGAAUUCCUGGUGUAGCGGUGAAAUGCGCAGAUAUCAGGAGGAACACCGGUGGCGAAGGCGGGUCUCUGGGCCUUACCUGACGCUGAGGAGCGAAAGCAUGGGUAGCGAACAGGAUUAGAUACCCUGGUAGUCCAUGCCGUAAACGUUGGGCGCUAGGUGUGGGGACUUUCCACGGUUUCCGCGCCGUAGCUAACGCAUUAAGCGCCCCGCCUGGGGAGUACGG
rnacentral:rRNA from 1 species